rnacentral:lncRNA from 10 species
GGGCUCGCCUGUAACCCCAGCUACUCAGGAGACUGAGGCAGGAGAAUCGCUUGAACCUGGGAGGUGGAGGUUGCAGUGAGUCGAGAUCACACCACUGCACUCCAGCCUGGGCGACAGAGCGAGACUCCAUCUCAAAAAAAAAAAAAAAAAAAAAAAAUAUAUAUAUGUAUAUAUAUAUAUAUAUAUAUGUAUAUAUGAACUAAUUUAUUUAGGCUUAAUCUCUAAAAUUUCAGCCUGAUCUUAACCAAUGAAAUUUCAAAAACAAAAACUGUACUUCAGUCUACAAUUGAAUGGAAUUCAGUGUAGACCAGUACAAUGGAAUGUACUGGCUGAGAUGGGAGGGUCCCUUGAGCCCAGGAGUUUGAGGCUGUAGUGAGCUGUGAUUGUGUCUGUGAAUAGUGACUGCACUCCAGCCUAGGUGACAUAGCAAGAUGCCAUCUCAAAGAAAUAUAGAUAUAUAACAUAAAAUAAAUAACUUUAUACAUUUCCUGGAGGAAAAGUACUCUGUAAAUUCAAGAGAUCUGAAUCAAAUUACUCAACCUUUUGGAAUUUGAUCCUCUACUGUAAUACUCAUAUGCUAGAUUACUGAAUUUUCAGAGUGAAAAAAAAUUGACAGGGUAAUAUAUAGGCCAUAUUAUAGUGAAGAUCAUAAGUAUAAAUGUCCUCGUUUAAUCUUUCCAUAUUGAGGACAGCCUCUGCAUAUAAAAAUGUUCAUUGGGAGAAAAAUUAUUUUUAAAACUAAAUUUUUAUAGUAGUCCUCCAUUACUGGCAAUUAAGGAGCAACCCACAAAAUGUCAUUAUGUGGUUCUUUGAUUAGGCAUAAAAAGUAUUGCAAACAGCUUUUCUAUUCCUUUGGAAUAUGAAUCUUUUUAAUGUCUAAAGUUAACCUGCAACAUUUUCUAGUAGGACAAGUCAAUGUAAAUUAGGUAAUUUUUGCCUGUUUUAUACCUUCUGUUGCAUUUUGUUCAAAUGAAAACAUUUUUUAAAACAUGAUUGAAUUUUUACUUCUCAGAUAAUUGGUUUGAGUGUGGAAUUUCUUUUUUAACACUUUGAUAUGUAAGUUAGUGUAAAUUAAUACUUUUAUAACACUACUAGGCUUUAUAUUUUUAUGGAAUGUUUUAAAAUUUGAAAUUUUUGAAGUGUUAAUUUAGCAGUACUUUAUCAUUAUGUGCCAAUACUGACAAGAAAAACAAUUUUUUAUGUAUUUAAUAUACUAUGGUAUUCAAUAAAUUCUAUUUUAAAAUAAAAUU